CUACGGGCCGCAGCAGUGAGGAAUAUUGCACAAUGGGGGGAACCCAGAUGCAGCAACGCCGCGUGGAGGAUGACGGAUUUCGGUGUGUAAACUCCUUUUAUAUGUCAAGAAAAUGACGGUAGCAUAUGAAUAAGCACCGGCUAACUCCGUGCCAGCAGCCGCGGUAAUACGGAGGGUGCAAGCGUUACUCGGAAUCACUGGGCGUAAAGGACGCGUAGGCGGGUUGGAAAGUCAGGUGUGAAAUCCUACAGCUUAACUGUAGAACUGCACUUGAAACUUCUAAUCUAGAGUAUGGGAGGGGGAGAUGGAAUUAGUGGUGUAGGGGUAAAAUCCGUAGAUAUCACUAGGAAUACCUAAAGCGAAGGCGAUCUCCUGGAACAUUACUGACGCUAAGGCGUGAAAGCGUGGGGAGCAAACAGGAUUAGAUACCCUCGUAGUC
rnacentral:rRNA from 1 species